UACAGAGGUCUCAAGCGUUGUUCGGAUUCAUUGGGCGUAAAGGGUGCGUAGGCGGCGCGGUAAGUCGGGUGUGAAAUCUUGGAGCUUAACUCCGAAACUGCAUUCGAUACUGCCGUGCUUGAGGACUGGAGAGGAGACUGGAAUUACGGUGUAAGCUGGUGAAAUGCGUAGAUAUCGUAAGGAAGACCAGUGGCGAAGGCGGGUCUCUGGACAGUUCCUGACGCUGAGGCACGAAGGUCAGGGGAGCAAACGGG
rnacentral:rRNA from 1 species